GGGGGUGAACCAGAUUCGACGCGUUUUCGGAUCCGGAGGUAGCGUGCCGAGGUUUCCCGGAACCUCGUGAAACACCGGGAAAACACACAACUGCCAACGACAACUUGGCUUUGGCCGCGUAACUAACGUGGCCCGUUCACUGGAUUACCCGCCCGAGGUGGUCCUUUGAGCGCCGAUAAUUCGGGCUGGUCCCUGCAGAACGCCGCGGGCUGCAGGGGCGAGAUGGCGCAAGCCGGACGUGGCUGGCUGACAGCGGGCCGUCGAGGAGCCCAGCGGUUGGCGAGACGAGAUCCUCGAAUACGCACGUAGAAACCAAUGGGGAAGGCUUCGCGGACCCGGGUGCGAUUCCCGGCACCUCCAUUU
rnacentral:tmRNA from 1 species